rnacentral:rRNA from 1 species
GACGGAGGAUGCAAGCGUUAUCCGGAAUGAUUGGGCGUAAAGCGUCCGCAGGGGGCAGUUCAAGUCUGCUGUCAAAGACCGGGGCUUAACUUCGGAAAGGCAGUGGAAACUGAACAGCUAGAGUAUGGUAGGGGCAGAGGGAAUUCCUGGUGUAGCGGUGAAAUGCGUAGAUAUCAGGAAGAACAUCGGUGGCGAAGGCGCUCUGCUGGACCAUAACUGACACUCAGGGACGAAAGCUAGGGGAGCGAAUGGG